UACGAAGGGGGCUAGCGUUGUUCGGAAUUACUGGGCGUAAAGCGCACGUAGGCGGAUAUUUAAGUCAGGGGUGAAAUCCCAGAGCUCAACUGCGGAACUGCCUUUGAUACUGGGUAUCUUGAGUAUGGAAGAGGUGAGUGGAAUUCCGAGUGUAGAGGUGAAAUUCGUAGAUAUUCGGAGGAACACCAGUGGCGAAGGCGGCUCACUGGUCCAUUACUGACGCUGAGGUGCGAAAGCGUGGGGAGCAAACAGG
rnacentral:rRNA from 1 species